AUGCCACACUUGAUCGGCACCCAUUUACUGAGACUACUACAGCGAGGAGAGCACUAUCAUUUUAUCAACCCAUUCCAGCCUUUUCUUCUCCUUCACACUAACCUUUCCUUCGCUCGCUCCCUCCCUCAGAAACGCCUACAGCUCCAGGGAGCGUACAGAAGAGACAGAGAGAGAGGAAAUCAGACAGAAAGAGAAAACAAUCCUGACGGUGGUAAUCCAGAUCCCAGGGGUGAAGCGACGGCUGGAUCUGCCCCAGAGGAAGGGCUGGGGAUUACAGGAGAGACGACACCAGAGAAUAUCCACCCAUUACUGGGAACCAGCCAGCAGGUGGUGGAGAUUUAUCCAAAGAGUCCACGGAGGAGGUGUUGAGAGGCCCACAUGUGAGCAUGAGAACACACACACACACACACACACACCGGAUUCAGAAGUGACAGCCAGUCUCUAAUAGAAAUCCAGCCAGUUUUGGCAGGAAGUGGGUUAAAUAGCAUUAUUCCGACAUGCCAGGAGGGUUGCAUAUAAAACUUUACAGAGAUUUCAUCCUAAAAAGAAUGUGUUUGAACUCGACAUAUCUUGUGUAAAGUUUGCUCAAGAUUGUGCCAGUGUUAUUUCAGUAUUAUUUAUAGAGUGGUUUAGUAUUUAUUAAUAUUAUGAUUAAACUUUUAUUUUUAUGUUUUGAGUUUGCAUUUUACUUUCUUUACGUUUCAGUCAUUUUUUGUAUGCUUGUCAUUUUAUUAGUUUAUUUAAAUAUUUCUAUUUAGCUUUAUAUUUUAGUUUUAGUAAUAGUAGUACUUAAUCUUUUCAUUUAGUAAAUGUCUAUUUAACUGAUUUGUUUUUUAAUCUCAUUUUUAGUUUUGUAAUUUUACUACUUUAAGUUGUAUUAUUUCAAUUAGAACAUUUAC
ensembl:lncRNA